rnacentral:ncRNA from 1 species
UGCGAUCUCAUGGGGUGCGCGGCGGAUCGGCCGCCGUGCUGAGAGGCCAUCCGGCCAACCCAUCGAACCUGAUCCGGGUCAUGCCGGCGGAGGGAGUGAGAGAUGCACGCGCC